rnacentral:rRNA from 1 species
UAGGGAAUCUUCGGCAAUGGACGAAAGCCUGACCGAGCAACGCCGCGUGAGUGAAGAAGGUUUUCGGAUCGUAAAACUCUGUUGUUAGAGAAGAACAAGGACGUUAGUAACUGAACGUCCCCUGACGGUAUCUAACCAGAAAGCUACGGCUAACUACGUGCCAGCAGCCGCGGUAAUACGUAGGUGGCAAGCGUUGUCCGGAUUUAUUGGGCGUAAAGCGAGCGCAGGCGGUUUCUUAAGUCUGAUGUGAAAGCCCCCGGCUCAACCGGGGAGGGUCAUUGGAAACUGGGAGACUUGAGUGCAGAAGAGGAGAGUGGAAUUCCAUGUGUAGCGGUGAAAUGCGUAGAUAUAUGGAGGAACACCAGAGGCGAAGGCGGCUCUCUGGUCUGUAACUGACGCUGAGGCGCGAAAGCGUGGGGAGCAAACAGG